CCUUGAGGAAAGUGGGGAAGAGAUGCUGCCUAGGAGAUAAUCAGACAAGAGAGGCACCUGGCUUCCAAAAUUGUAAAUGUGCUCAUUCUCAGAUGGUUGUGAUGCCCACGGAGUUCUGAAAAUAGAGAAAACAGCUCAAUCUCAAGUUUGAAAGGACUGGGAUGGAGAAAGACUGGUGUCUGAAAGAGCAGUAGCUCAUUCUGUGAGAGGUCUAAGUCUGGAAAAAGAAUUCAAGGAAUUCUCAGGAAAUCUUUUGGAUUCCAUUUCCAAAGCAGGCCAUCUUCACCUCCAUUUGCCUGUUUGAAGUCAACCUCCUCUUAUUCUACUUCAAAAAAUCUACCUCCCUCGUUUCAUACCCAGAGUCCUCUUGCUUCAUGCCUAAACUUCUCUCCUUCAAGCCUCACAGCAGG